AGUGAACGCUGGCGGUAUGCCUAACACAUGCAAGUCGAGCGGCAGCACAGUAAGCUCUCUCCCUUGCUGUUGGCGGCUGACGGACGGGUAAGACGUACAUCGGAAUCUUCUUUUUCUGGGGUGAUAACGUGAGACCACUUACGCUACUACCGCAUAUGUCCUACGGCUUAAAGCAGAAGAUCUUCACACCUUUCCCGUUUCAUUGAGCCGAUGUCGCAUUAGCUAGUUGGCGUGGUAAGGGCCCACCAAGGCAACGAUCCGUAGCCGACCUGAGAGGAUGAUCAGCCACACUGGAACUGAGACACGGUCCAGACUCCUACGGGAGGCAGCAGUGGGGAAUCUUCGGCAAUGGGCGAAAGCCUGACCGAGCCAUGCCGCGUGGGUGAAGAAGGCCUUCGGGUUGUAAAGCCCUGUUAUUGGGGAAGAAAAGCUGCAGAAUAAACCGCCGAUGUCCUGACGGUACCUAAAGAAAAAGCACCGGCUAACUUCGUG
rnacentral:rRNA from 1 species